rnacentral:lncRNA from 1 species
GGAGGCUGGGUGAGAAUAUCCUUAAUUGCACGGAACACUGCUUCACAGUCGUCGUCCCAAGUGUUGGCCGAUGCUUUCUUCAUUUUCUUCAAGAUUGGAGUUGCUCGUUCGGCCAACUUUGGUAUAAAUUGUGAAAGUGCAGUCAAACGAUCGACGAGUCUCUGAACGUCCUUCACUGUUCGGGGGGUCUGCAUCCCUAGCACCG